CUUUUCCAAAGUAACUAGGUCUUAGGUGAAUAUAGCAUUAGAGUGAGAAACCUAAAUGUAAUAUGAGCUGGAAAUAUAUAUGUUCUUAACUGUUUUCUUCCCAACUUCUUCUCAGAGAGUAAGUUCUCUUCCCCCACAUAUGAA